rnacentral:lncRNA from 1 species
UUAAUAAUGGUGAAAAUGUUAAUAGUGGUGAAAAUGCACAAAUAGUCAAAUCAGGUGCGCGCAUAAUGACUUGCUUAAGCAUGGGUGCAUUAAAAACUGAUGAUGCCAUUUUUCAGAGUACAAGUAAUAACAUAAGUGAUAAAUUAAAUAAUUACAUGACAAGUAAUUGCAUGACAAGUAAUUGCAUGACAAGUAAUAGCAUGACAAGUAAUUACUUGACAAAUAAUUACUUGACAAAUAAGUACAUGAUCGAACAAUAUAAUUUUAAUACUAAAAAAAACAUCACUACUAAAAUGUUUGCUACUAAAAAUGCAAAAGAAAAAAAUAAAAAUGUAAAAGAAAAAAAAAAAAAUGCACAAGAAAAAAAAAAAAAUGCAAAAGAAGAAAAAAAAAAAAAACAAAAAAAGGAAAAAAAAAAAAAAAAAAAAAAAAAAAAAAAAAUAUAAUAAUCAAGACAUGUAUAAAUGUAAAAUAACAUAUAUAUUUAAAAAAAAAGAUGACAAUGUUGAAAAAGAUAUAAGUAUAAUAUUUCGGUCCAAUAAAAUAGAAAUAUUUAAAAAAUUAGAAGAAAAAGUAAAAAAUUUAUUAAUAAAUAAUAAAAAAGAAUAUUUAGAUAUAGAAGUUGUUUGUCAAUAUUUAAUUAAUAAAAAUAAAAAAAUAUUUACCUUACAUGUACAUAAUUUAAUACAAAAUAUUUACAAAAUUGAUAAAAAAUAUAUGCAUAAAAAAGCAUUUGAAUUAUUAAAAUUAUAUACUGAUCAUAUAAAAAAAGAAGAAUUAUUAAAAAAAAAUAGAAUUCGAUUUAUGCAAACAGGUAGUCAUAAAUUAGAAUAUGUAUUAAUAAAAAAAAUACAAACUUAUUUAAAUAUAUUACUUAUCAAAAGUUAUGAACAUAGUUUUAUAAAUUAUCAAGUAAAAACAAAUGAUUUAUUAUGUAGUAUGAUAGUGAAAGAAAAACAUAUUUAUGAAGAAAAAAUAGUAAAAAGAAAUUUAUUAAUAUUACAUAAUGCAUUGUUAACGGUAUAUAAAAAUCGUAUGUCGAAAUAUUUUCGUUUUUUUUUUAACAAUAAUAAAAUUGUUAAUCAAACAAAACAUAUACUUACCUAUGGAUUAUCACAUGUUAAUCAUAUACUUAUACAUUAUCAAAAACGAUUACAAAUGUUUGUAUUUUCAAAACUUAGAUUUAAUUAUGAAAAUACAACUUAUUUUAUUUUUAUUAUGUAUAAAAUAUAUUUAAGAAAAAUAUUUUGGGCUUAUAUCCGAUUAAGAAAUAAUAGUGUUAAUAUAAAAUUGUUUAAAGAAAAUAAUGUUUAUCGAUUAAUUAAAACUUUGACAAAAUUGUUAGAUAAUCAAAAAUAUUAUGCUUUUUUACAAAUACAAAAAUAUAUAUAUGAUAAAAAAGAAAAAAAAAAUCAAGAAAUUUGUAACAAUUUAAUGUAUGCAAAUGAUGAAUUAUCAAAUAAUUUGGAUAAAAUAGGAAUAGAAAAAGGAAUUAAUAAAUUAGAUGCUAUUUUUAAAUUUAAAAUUAAAGAAAGUAUGUUAAAAAUGUUUUAUACAUUAAAAGGACCACAUAUAAACACAACAUAUGCUCACUUAUAUAUUAAAUAUUCAAGUGUUUUCUCUUUCAUAUUAAAUAAAAUUAUACAAAGAAAAGUUAAAAAUAUAUUUUUUUAUUUCUUAUUAAAAUGUUUUCAAAAUAAACAUAAACAAAGACUUAUACAUUCUAUAAAUUGUUUAGAAAAUAUAAUUAAACAAAAAGAAAAAAAAAAUACAUUUUAUCUUUUACAACUAUUGGAUCAAUACCCAUAUUUAUUCAAAUAUAAAAACUUAACUAUAAUAGAAAUAUUUGUAGUUAGUAUAACAAAUUUUAUUAACUUUUGUAAUAAAAAAUUAUUAGUUAAUUUUAUGUUAAAAUUACAUUAUAUCAAAUAUCAAAAAAAUGUUAUGAAUACUUAUAAAUGUAUUAAUAAUAUAUAUAAAUUUAUACAUAUUAUUCAUAAAAAAAUAAAUAAAACAACAAAACCAGCAUUUAUAUUACUUAAGCAACAUACAUAUUACAAAACAAAUAAAAUUAUAACCGAAAAAAUUAAAGAAAAAAAAACACAGCUCAAAUUAAAUAAUCAUAUAUUAAAUACAGAAAAUAGUAAUUAUUAUACUCCAUUUCAUUCAUCUUCUUCUUUUUUUUUAAAAAAUAAACAUUUAUA